GACAGAGGUGCCGAGCGUUAGGCGGAAUCACUGGGCUUAAAGCGUGUGUAGGCGGACGGGUAAGUACCUUGUGAAAUCCCACGGCUCAACCGUGGAACUGCAUCUGAUACUGGAUGGCUUGAGUUCGGGAGAGGGAUGCGGAAUUCCAGGUGUAGCGGUGAAAUGCGUAGAUAUCUGGAGGAACACCGGUGGCGAAGGCGGCAUCCUGGACCAAUUCUGACGCUGAGGAGCGAAAAGCCAGGGGAGCCAAACGGG
rnacentral:rRNA from 1 species